GAUGAACGCUGGCGGCGUGCCUAAUACAUGCAAGUCGAGCGAACAGACGAGGAGCUUGCCCCUCUGACGUUAGCGGCGGACGGGUGAGUAACACGUGGAUAACCUACCUAUAAGACUGGGAUAACUUCGGGAAACCUGCGCUAAUACCGGAUAAUAUAUUGAACCGCAUGGUUCAAUAGUGAAAGACGGUUUUGCUGUCACUUAUAGAUGGAUCCGCGCCGCAUUCGCUAGUUGGUAAGGUAACGGCUUACCAAGUCAACGAUGCGUAGACGACCGGAGAGGGGGGUCGGCCACCCGGGAACUGGACCACGGACAAGGGUCCUACGGGACGCAGCAGUAGGGAAUCGUCCGCAAUGGGCGAAAGCCUGACGGAGCAACGCCGCGUGAGUGAUGAAGGUCUUCGGAUCGUAAAACUCUGUUAUUAGGGAAGAACAAAUGUGUAAGUAACUAUGCACGUCUUGACGGUACCUGAACAGAAAGCCACGGCUAACUACGUG
rnacentral:rRNA from 1 species